rnacentral:rRNA from 1 species
CAGUAGCCGCGGUAAUACGAAGGGUGCAAGCGUUACUCGGAAUUACUGGGCGUAAAGCGUGCGUAGGUGGUGGUUUAAGUCCGUUGUGAAAGCCCUGGGCUCAACCUGGGAAUUGCAGUGGAUACUGGGUCGCUAGAGUGUGGUAGAGGAUAGUGGAAUUUCCGGUGUAGCAGUGAAAUGCGUAGAGAUCGGAAGGAACAUCUGUGGCGAAGGCGGCCAUCUGGGACAACACUGACGCUGAAGCACGAAAGCGUGGGGAGCAAACAGGAUUAGAUACCCGGGUAGUCCCUGUCUCUUAUAC